rnacentral:lncRNA from 1 species
AGAAAGCAUCAUAAUCAGGAUUAAAAAAUCCUGAUAGUCUAUGCCAUUAACCAUUGCAACUUGCUGCUCCUGUCCACCCAGGCUGUAGGAGCAGGCACAUGACUAUGGGCUCCGUUAUGAAGUUUACCAAAUUUUAUCCUUGGCCCUCCGCACUUCUGUCAUCUUCAAAGUAGUAGCAGUCAGGAAAAUAUUAAUUCUAACUCCAUUUUUAGGGCUGCUAGUUUGUGUGUGUGUAUGUGUAUAUGUGUGUGUGUUUGCAAAGCUUGAGGUGGCGAGAAGCCACCGAUGCUCAUAUUAAUGCUGUCCUUUAAAUUGAAAGACCCUCGAAUGGGUAAGGAGUUCUUACUGGAAGGAGCAAAUAGAAGGGGGAGAGAUUUUAAUUUAAAUUAAAAAAAAAGUUUACACAGUAAUAAGCCAGGUCAGUAUGGCUCUUUACCGCCCCCUGAACAUAAGCCUUCCUUUUCCUUGUUUGCUGGUUUUUCAGCAUUUAUUUUUUUAAUUGAAUGUACAUAUUACACAUAUUUAUAUUAUACAGCAUGAUGUUUUAAAGUGUGCGCAUUGUAGAAUGGCUGAACCAUGCUAUUUGCCACGUACAUGACUUCACUAUUCUUAAAUGUGGUUAUAAUACUUAGAAUUUCUUAGUAAUUUACAGGUUUUUUUCCAUAUAGUGACGAGUUUUCUCGAUCGUCUUCCCCUGAAUUGAAAUUUUGUGUCCUUGGACUGAAACCUUUAUACCACCUGCGGCCUCUGAGCUCUGCCUUCUGACUCGGUUCCUAUGAGUCCCCUGGUUUUACACCCUGUAUAGGUGAUAUCAUGAGAGAUGAGUAAUGUGUUUGAUAAAACCUCUUGCAUGAAUUGAAAAGCAAGCACAAACCAUGCAGUGUGGUUUCGUGUUUGAAUGUGUUGAACACAAACCUAACAAUUAUAACUUACUAGUUUAUGUUUUAAAAACCGAGGUUUCCCCCUUCUUAAACAUGAUUUCAUACAUGCACACAAUGUCUGAAGAGUAUAGGUAUACAUCUAGCUAUAAUUAUUUCUGACAUAAUUUUAAUGAAAAAAAAAUAAGACUUCUCUCUAAAAUUUUGACUUUGUAGCUUACGUUUUGACCACACAAAGUGACCAAGCACUUCGCAAGCACUUGGGUAUUUGGUAUUGCCUCUGAGACAGUGUAUAUUUGGUAUUGCCCCUGUAAUGAUAUGUAUCUGGUAUUGUGCCUUUGUGAGUAUGUGUCUUUUCCCUCUGAGGUGUUGCCCAUUGCCUGCUAGCUUUCUCCCACAAAUUAAGAGUGAAGAUUUCGGUUUUCUUGACAGAUGCUGGAGGCAGGCUCGAGUCAUAGGACUUCUUGUCAUAGUAAAUUUUAAAGAUGGGGAGGACUUAUUUUAACCAAAGCCUUUUGUGGGGUAGAUUAAAGACUGGAGUGCAUGUGGCUAUAAUCUUAUUUUUUUUCCCCUCAGACUUUUGAUUUUCUUUUUAAAAAAAAGUCUAUAAAGAUUGUAGAUUUUGGUUACAGUUUAUCAAAAAGAAAGUGACCAAUUACAAACCCAUUUACUGCCAUUGGCUUUUCAGGGGAAAUUUAAGCUUCUCACAUGCAAUUUAGGGAAAGAUUCUUUGCUUAGUUCAGCAUUUAGACAUUUGUCCUGGUCAUUAUUGGCUGGAGUAAAAUAAAGUAAACGAAAAACAGGCAAAUUUUAGAAAGAUUUAUAGCAGGAUGUUCUUAUAAAGCCAGAAAGUUUAAAAUCUGGUUGAUUUAAACCAGAAAUGCUUGCUUUACUCUCAAAUAUUUAUAAAGUGCUAAAUCCUUUCUUGUGCCCUUUCUGAUGCCUCACAGAUUAUUGCUCUGUGUCGCCCUUGCCACCCCCUGACAGAAGACGUUGCUGGUCACUCUGGGACUAAGUUGCUGCUUUUCUUAUGCUAGACAGGCCUCUUGGGAUUAGCCCUGUGGAGGAAGUCUUGUUCAAUAUGUAGGGCUGUUACCAUCCACAGUCAUGAGCAAGAUCUGCUCCUUUUGAGAGAAACUGAGUAAGAAAUUCUAAGUUCCUUUUGAUGUGAUAAAUAAUGUAAUGGGAGGUGUCAACCCUUCUGGAAACAAAUUUUUUAAAAGAAGGAGAUUAAUCCAAUUGUCCUUUUUUUUUUUUUUAACACAUGAUUUUCCAUUUUGCUUACAGCUCGAGGGUGUCGAGAGGGACCUUUGCAUGCAAUUUGGUUAAAACUUGGUGUGGUUUUCUGAAGUUUCUCACUGUUUUUGGUAUUAAUCUGUAAGGAAGGAGAGAAAGCAUUUUCUUGUAUCAAAUUUGAACAUACACUGCGCUUUUGGAGUCUAUAAAAUAUUGAGCUCUAUCUGCCAUCUUUGCAGGAAGGCUAGGCAAGGGAGCGUUUGCGUGCAUCUGUUUGUGGCAGUGGGAAGAAGAUUGAGGCCAUACUAUUUUGGUGCAAGUCUUGUCUUAUUUUCUUUGAUUUAACAGUGGUGUUGAUCUGUAAUGUCUUGGGUGUCCUAGACAUCAUAGCUGUGCAUACAUACACAUACACACGUACUCGUGCAUGCCCUCAUACCCAUACACACGUGAAAACAUGUUUUCAUGGUAGGUUGUGAAGAACUGUAAAUUGCUUUUGACAAACUACGAUACAGCAUCAUUUAUAGCAUACAGAUUCUCACUGAAACAAACAAACAAACAAGUCAUAAAAAUGGUUAGAAAGAGGAGUAUUUUACACACUGAUACUUUUCAGUGUCCCUUGGUUUAAUUGUCCUCUAGACGUCUCAUUUGCUCAAAUCAGGAUGUGCUAGUGUGACCUUGCUGUGCAUGGGCUCAGCCCUGAGAGCAUCCAUCUUCAGGACGGAUGCUUUUACUAACCUGGACUUUGCUGUCAAGUGUGUCUGCACAGGGCUCAAUUGAUACAUCUCCAUUUCUUAAUGAGGAGUUUGGUCUUAAAUGUAGUGAACCUUCUCACUGUGAGGCUGUUACCUAAGGCUCAAAAUCUAUCAUAAUUACCAUUUCUCUUAAACACCCAUCAUUAAGGAGUGCACAAAACGCUUGCCUUAAAAGGAUAGUUUCAUGGAGAUUGCUUCUUGGGUAUGUGUCAGCACAAAAUGAAAUCCCCGGGGUUAAGAAAAAAAGGGAGCACUUACACAGUUGAAGAGCGGAGGAAGAUCUCCACAUUUAAAUACAGCCAACUGAAAGGCAGUUAAUGGUUGCUGGUGCUGGUGCAACCACAGCGGCAGCAGGCUCUGCGCCCUGCUGAACUUUGUGGAUGAUUUCUUUCUCUGGUGGUGUGUUGCCACUGAGAGGCAGGAACCCGUUAUGAGAGACGUAGCUCGUUUUGCCCAGAUGUGGAUACACAUCUAACUCUGGGCUAACAAUUUUAAGGAGUUGGCUUGGAGC